rnacentral:tRNA from 1 species
GAGAGUAUAGCUCAGUGGCAGUGGAAGAGUACAUGCCUAGCAUGCACAAGGUCCUGGGUUCAAUCCCCAGUGCCUCCA